GAAAAGCAUAUAAGAACGCCAUAAAAUAAUCACCAUUGGGGUGCCACCAGGAAACAGCAGCAGUCUCCAGAAUUUUCUCAACCCCCUGCCCCACUCUGCUUCGGGUUUCUCAUCCCAAUUUCCCCGUCCUUUUUAUCCUUCACAGCUCACGCAUAUAUCGUUUUUCCCGUCUCUAUUCAUUUCCUCUCUCUAGUCUAUGUGAAACCUACUGUUUCGAUCACAAAUCGAAUUCUCUUCUUUCAAUUCUUACUUCAUCUUCUCCUCGAAUUGUCCGAUAAACUUUUCGAUCGAUCACUCCAGGAUGAACUCGCAAUGUUUGUUCUUUCCUCUCAUGGCGGUGGUUCAAUUCACAGUUUUUUUCUUCUUGGUUCCUGAGAAAGAAGAAAAAAUAUAUUUAAUAUCAUAUGCUUAUCUUUGUUGAAAGCUAAACUCAAUUUUCACCUUUGCUUCUAAACUAACUGCGUUUUCCGAUACGUUUCCUUUUUUUAUUCUUUUUUGAAUAUUUUAUCUCGCAGCUUGCUGAUCGGAAUCAUUUUUUGUUUUGCCUUUUUCAAUUCCCUUGCAGAACUUUUUCCUGAUCACAAGUUUAUAACAGAUGUGGUAUGCAAUUACACUCACAGCAUUGUGGAAAUGCCGUUGCUUCGUUUUUCAGGUUUACCAUUGGAAUCCUUGUGAUCCAGAAAUAGCUUGUUUAAGAGCACUUACCGUCUUCGGCAGAAAAGAAUGUUUGUGGAGCAUGCUCCUCCAUAGAUUAUCUGUUACUUGAGCGCGAGUGUCUUUUGGAAACAGCCUCUCUACCUCCAUGAGGUAGAGAUAACGUAUGCGUACAGUCUAUCGACCCGGACCUCACCUGUGGGAUUGCACUAGCACUUAAAUUUGAAGUUCGACGCUGGUGUGAAAUGAAUUUAAUCUGUCCCUUGCUAAAGACUAUUGCACGCAAAGCAUAUUGAUGCAACAAUGCGGAUUCUGUUUUGUCUCUUCGCUUUUGUCCCUGUUACCCUGCUUCCGUCUCCUAAUUUUAUUUCCCUUGGAAACACAGUUUGACCUUUCCAGUAGAGUUGGUGAUAAUAUGAAACCUUUAAGAUCAUUCCCUCACUUCUUCUAUUUUCAGUUUUGACCCAACAUAUGGCUAGACCGACCAUUUGGACAGACAAGUGUUGAGUAUGGCAGAAAGGCAGGGCAAUGAGGAAUCGUUGUACCAAAUUCAAGCCAAGGAAGUGAAGGUGGAUAAGUUAUCUGAUUUAUCAAGGGAUGAGAAUUCAUUUUUCUCUUUCCACUUUUCUGUUGAAUGGACUUGGGAGUGAUAGCACACAAAACGUUUACAAAGUGAAUGGUACUGUCUUUAAGGUCAUUGCUGAACCAACUAAGAGAACCUUUGAUUGAACACAACUACAAGAAACAAAAUGAGGUGGCGGAUCAACUUGCAAAACAAUAUGGACAUAGGAUGCAUGAUAAUAUAAUACAUUUUACUGUUUCUCCUUUGUUUGACUUAGCUUUCAAGGCAGACGAGCUAGGAAUUACUUCCUAUAGAAGCACUACGGUUUGCAAUGAAGCUAAAUCGCUGUCUCUGUAAUAGCACUACCUUUUUUUUUACUGGGCAAACAUUACGACACGUGUGGUUUUAAACAUGUCAAAAAAAAAUUGUGAUACAAAAUAUGUCGUCAAGGGAACAAAUGACAAGUUUUAAUUAUAUUAAUCCAAAAUCCAAAUGUAGAAAUG